rnacentral:lncRNA from 1 species
UUAUUUUCAGGUAGACAAAUUACUGCCUCCUUGCAAAUACGUCUUGACUUUUUUCUUCGUGUGUCCCAGAAAUGGGGAAGAUUAAUAGACAACCUUUCAGCAACAUUUGUUUGUGUCAGGAAAAAAAAUAUGCAUUCCUCCAUUCAUGGACAGCAUAAGUAAACUGCAAUAGCCAGAGAACUCAACCUGUUGAAUAUACAGAAAUGAGUGCCAGGAUCUCAGUGAACAGCCAGAGGCACAAUUUAUUACCUCUAACUUUCAUUUCUUGUAUGUUAGGUCAAACCUGGAAAAAGAAUGUUAACUAAAAAAAUAAAUAAAUCAAUCUUUGAGCUUUGUCAGAGUUACAUAAAAUAUUUUCUUUCAUAAAUCAUUCUGUGAAAUCCACGUCCAUAGGAAUAUAAAAACCUGCAUACCAAUCGUAUGGCCAAAUAUAUUUAAGAAGAAAGGAAGCUCUAUAUAUUGAGACUGUGAAGUGUAUUUUAAGGAUGAGGCCACAAUUUUCUCCAUAAUUAACUUUGAAUGAUGAUAGUCUACGGUGACCAGGUGGGUCUAAGUCAAGCUGGGAAGUCACACUAGCUAAGCUGGGGUACCUGGAGCAUAGACCACAUAAGGACAAAAGAACAGGUCUGAACUUAAACACAACUCAGGAGCCAAGGCAGGGGGAGGCUUCCCACAGCUGUUUUCACAGGAGCCUGAUGCAGGUUACACUGCUGUACUGCAUCAGGGCAUAGCUUGGCUGGCACCUAAAGUCCACAGGGGUGGGAAGAAAAGGCUGUGUGGAGGAUGGUGGUUUGAUUGUGUGCUUAGCUGACUGUGUGCUUAGCUCUAAGAUGGUGUUCUCUGUCUUUGGGGUGGUAGGUAGUGCGAUAGCCUAGCUUUUGGAUGUUCUAGCUGUGCCAACAAACGUGAAAUCUCUCUUGCUGCCCUUACAGCGUGAGUUUAGGAAACUCCAGUAGCCACUUGCAGUUUCAUCACUGUAGCAAUGUCAGCAUGAGCAGCUUGAGUCAGACUUCCCUUUGGACCAGAUGGUGGAUAAGUGCUUACCCGUCACGUAACAGGAAACAUGUACUGUACUGGAUGGCACAUACAAAGCAGAAUGACGGGCUUCAAGCUCCUCUGGCAAGUGUGCUCCAAAGUAGAUAUGUAUUUCAUGUAAAAUGGAAGCUUUUUUUCGGUCGUUGAUAUUUGACCUUAAUAUAACAUCAGGCUGCAAAGUGUUUUUUUCUUUAAGGCUAUACCCACACAGAUUUUCUGUGCCAUUUUGAGUUCUAUUAAAACAUUUAGGCCUUUGGCAAGUUUUACGAUGUCUGACGUAAUGGCUGAAACAUUACACCGGAAUUUAGAUGGCAAGGUGCCUGGAUGGUAAAAUUGUGCCACUUAAAUUACCAGGAAGUCUCAUAACUUGUUUGGCUUAAACCUUUCCUUUUGCAGGGAGGGAGGACUAACAAAAUCUCACCAGGCACAGCCAAACAGAAUCUUCUUUAGCUUGGGUUGAUACUGAAGUUUGUGAGAAAUAGUACAGAGACUUUAGUUUCUGAUUUCAAUUGUCUCCUUUUUUUGCUCUUGUUUAGCCAUAUAUUCUUAUGCAUGUAGUAUGUGUCUAUAUUCUUGUUUUCUUAAUUGGUUUUAUAACUUAUUUAAUCCAGUGUUAGUAUUGCUGCAGUGGUAUUGAAAGUACCAAAUAAAUAGCUCAGAAGAAAAAGCUUCUUCUUACA